rnacentral:rRNA from 1 species
GCGACCUCAGGUCAGGCGGGACUACCCGCUG